rnacentral:rRNA from 1 species
UUAAAUUGAAGAGUUUGAUCAUGGCUCAGAUUGAACGCUGGCGGCAGGCCUAACACAUGCAAGUCGAACGGUAACAGGAAACAGCUUGCUGUUUCGCUGACGAGUGGCGGACGGGUGAGUAAUGUCUGGGAAACUGCCUGAUGGAGGGGGAUAACUACUGGAAACGGUAGCUAAUACCGCAUAACGUCGCAAGACCAAAGAGGGGGACCUUCGGGCCUCUUGCCAUCGGAUGUGCCCAGAUGGGAUUAGCUAGUAGGUGGGGUAACGGCUCACCUAGGCGACGAUCCCUAGCUGGUCUGAGAGGAUGACCAGCCACACUGGAACUGAGACACGGUCCAGACUCCUACGGGAGGCAGCAGUGGGGA